rnacentral:rRNA from 1 species
UACGUAGGGGGCUAGCGUUGUCCGGAAUCAUUGGGCGUAAAGAGCGUGUAGGUGGCUCGGUAAGUCCGCUGUGAAAGUUCAGGGCUCAACCCUGGAAUGCCAGUGGAAACUGUCGAGCUAGAGUCCGGAAGAGGCGAGUGGAAUUCCUGGUGUAGCGGUGAAAUGCGCAGAUAUCAGGAGGAACACCAAUGGCGAAGGCAGCUCGCUGGGACGGUACUGACACUGAGACGCGAAAGCGUGGGGAGCAAACAGG